AUGCUGAGCGCUGGGGGUGGGCAGCACCCAGCAGGGACACCACGUGCUCGGUGGGGAGCAAGCGGGGUGGGGGGAUGCUGGGGGCUUGGGGGCAUCCUGCACACCCACCACGGAUGCCCAGCACCCAUUUGGCAAGCCCAAACACCCACCAGAGUUGCCCAAGCACCCAUUUGGGAUGCUCAGCACCCAUCAGAGAUGCACAGCACCUACUGGGGAUGCCCAGCACCCAUUUGGGACGCCCAGCACCCACCGGGGAUGCCCAGCACCCCCCUGGCACCCUCGGGCUCCCGAAGCCCGUACCUGGUAGGUGACGCCGCGGGGGAAGUACUCCAUGAACUCAUCGGACUCGUUGCCCUGCACCUCGCGGUGGGUGACGGGGCGCUCGCCCAGCGCCGCGUUCAGCUGGGUGCAGAGGAGGGCGCAGGCGCCCUGCUCGUCCCGCGACGCCUCCCGGCCUGCGGCGGGGAGCGGGGGCGGCUCAGCGGGACCCCCCCACACAUAUUGCCCCCCCCCAGCCCCGUGCUCACCGAUCCAGAGGUGCAGGUGGGCUCGCUCCUCGGGCCCCAGGUGCAGCACCAGGUAGGCGUCCCCCGAAAAAAAGGUGCCCCAAGAGGCCUCCGGCACUGGCACCGGGCGCAGCUUCUCCACCCGCCAGAUGUGCAGCCCCGGGCGGGUGGGCACGGGGCCGAAGGGGGAGCCGCUGCGGGGAGGGGGGUGUCAGGGGGGGUUUGGAGGGGGAGUGGGGUUUUUUUGGGGGGUCGGUACCUUUUGGGGAGCGCCGUGUACAUGGUGGCGGGGAGGCGGCGGGGAGAGCGGUGGUCUGAGAGCGGGUGGUCCUGCGGGGAGAGGGGACGCGGCGAUGGACAGAUGGACAGACGGGAGGGCAGACGGACAACCAGAAGGAGCGGGGGGCACCCCAACAGGUGGAUGGAUGGACAGACAGCCAGAAGGAUGGACAGACAACCCCCCCCUCCCGACAGACAGCUGGGCACCCCAAUGGGUUGGUGGGCGCCCCGAUGGACAGACGGACGCCCCAGUGAGUGGACACCCAGGAGGACAGACAGACGGACAGCCCGAUAG
rnacentral:lncRNA from 1 species